GCCUGGGUGGCUCAGUUGGCUGAGCGUCUGACUUCGGCUCAGGUCAUGAUCUCACGGUCUGUGAGUUCGAGCCCCAUGUCGGGUU
rnacentral:tRNA from 1 species